UCCGUAGGGUGCAAGCGUUGCCCGGAUUUAUUGGGUUUAAAGGGUGCGUAGGUGGCUUUUUAAGUCAUGGGUGAAAGCCCGCAGCUCAACUGUGGAAUUGCCUGUGAUACUGAGGAGCUUGAGUGCGGUUGAGGCAGCUGGAAUUGGUGGUGUAGCGGUGACAUGCAUAGAUACCACCAGGAACACCGAUUGCGAAGGCAGGUUGCUAAGCCGUAACUGACACUGAGGCACGAAAGCGUGGGGAGCAAACAGG
rnacentral:rRNA from 1 species